UACAAUGAGUGUACACUAGGGAGC
rnacentral:piRNA from 1 species